CGAGAAAUGUUUAUGCUGCAAAAACACAUUUUCCAGAAAAGGCCAGUAAAUAUGGUGUUUAUUAUUUUUUUUUUGCUCGCAGACAGUACACAGCUUGUACUCGUAAGGGGAGCAGUGUUUUCAGAGGACUGCUUCAAGUACUGGAAUAACCACUCCUUGCACUUUGCCACAAUGACGUCAAAGCAGGACGCCCCGUUCUCCGAAGACGGAAGAAGACACGGAGAGUUUGUCGUGAACCAGUACACAUCCUCACCUUCUUUAAUUGGCACGUCUCGUCGGGACACGUGCAGUUCGGUGUGUGUCUGCGUUUUACAGUUCUUGCCCCACUCUUGACAGCCAGCUGUUGCGAGAUCUGCUGCCGCUCGCUGUUCAUGGUGUCCCCCCUUUUUUGUGUAGAUAAAAGAAUAUUGACCCUGAUAGCCAUACUGAUGGACAACUUCACCCUUCAUCCUCUUAAAGGUGUCUUUCACAUUUUGGUCUACGGUCAUUUUCCCCGAGUUGGUUAGGUCCCCCGGUAUGGCAGCGUCAAGUUCUCUAUACGUUUCGUAAAUGUUUCGCCACGAGAGUGUCUUGUUAUUUAGUUUAUCUCUUAGGAACUGAAGAUGCUGCUGCUUUCUUAAUAUCCUCUGCCUUUCUUCAGAACUCUUUGUGGUUUUGGGACCCACAGCUGCAGUUUCUCUUGCUGGAGAUGAACUUGUUGGAGGAGAGGGUUUUUCAGGUAUCACUCCUUGUGUUGCUGGAGACGGGCUCCUCCCUGCACUUCCAGAUGAUGGUCCUGGUACCGUUGGCGAGUUUGCUGUUGAAGGUCCGUCACCAGGCGCUUCAGAAACUCGUUCAUCGUCGUCAGCAGGACGGUGACGGCGACAGCAACAGCAAAGCAAUCUGAGGAGUCGUCCAAGUUGCCUUUUUUCUCUUUCUUCUAAAAUGUCUUCGAAGUGGAGUUCCGCAGGAUUCGGGUUGAUUCCGCCUUCAUCGCUGGAGAUGUCCGAGGCUCCACUGACACUCGUGCAAAGGUCUAGGCAGGAGUUGAGCAGAAGGAGAAGGAGAAUCCAGGAGCUUGCAGAGCACCGCAGGAACAUCAUGUUGCCACAGCUCGAUGUUGUUACUGCGAACUAGAGCAGCGAACAGCCUUUUAUUGGGGCCCUUAUGCAUAUUAACAUGACUCAGAUCUUUGGACAUUUGCUUAACUCACAGUUCAGCGGAGGGGAGACACAUAGUAAAGUGACCAUGAGUUCACUGACAUUGACAUUGUUGCAAUAUGAGCCGCCGUUGUAUGAAAUCAAGUGCAGUUAAACAAUGAAGGCGGUUCUGCGGUAAUGUCUUCUUUUUAAGGUGAACAUGAUACACCGUGUUUACUGUGCACGGUAGGCAAGAUGCCCAGGCUGUGGACCACGCUGUGGUCCUGGUCCAUCAAAUCCACCAGGUUCCUCCCUAAUGUGGGUUCAUAGCACCUCAGUAGGUUUACUGGUUUAUCAAAGAAAUGUUCAACAGUGAAGCAUCUGGUGCGAUUGCAAGAAACCUGUGAAGUUCUGCUGGGUUCUUGUCAGGGUUUUGGGUCUCCAGGGUUUCGUGUCUGAACGGAGGUCUGGCUGGGAACUAUGCGACAGUGGUACAGCGGUAAGUACACUCCGUACAGCAGACAAACACACACCAGGUCACAUCUGCGGGUUAACGUGCAGAGAAAGGUCUCCAGUGACCUCUGUGCUCUAGCAUUUCAUUGAUUUCUGCUCCAUCAAGUGACACGGGGCUUCAGUGACCUUUCUGAUGACCUCACUGUACCAGGUGAAGGUCUUUUCUCCAAAGAAUGAAAAGAGCUGGAGAAAUAAAAAGGAAGGCUGUUAACA
rnacentral:lncRNA from 1 species